CCUACGGGGGACAGCAGUAGGGAAUAUUGCUCAAUGGGGGAAACCCUGAAGCAGCAACGCCGCGUGGAGGAUGAAGGUUUUCGGAUUGUAAACUCCUUUUGUUAGAGAAGAUAAUGACGGUAUCUAACGAAUAAGCACCGGCUAACUCCGUGCCAGCAGCCGCGGUAAUACGGAGGGUGCAAGCGUUACUCGGAAUUACUGGGCGGAAAGGGCGCGUAGGCGGGGUAGCAAGUCAGAUGUGAAAUCCUAUGGCUUAACCAUAGGACUGCAUUUGAAACUGUUAGUCUUGAGUAAGGGAGAGGUAAGGGGAAUUCUUGGUGUAGGGGUAAAAACCGUAGAAAUUCAGAAGGAUA
rnacentral:rRNA from 1 species